rnacentral:rRNA from 1 species
UACGGAGGGUGCAAGCGUUGUCCGGAAUCAUUGGGCGUAAAGAGUUCGUAGGCGGCAUGUCAAGUCUAGUGUUAAAGCCUGGGGCUCAACUCCAGUAAGGCACUGGAUACUGACAAGCUAGAAUGUGGUAGAGGUAAAGGGAAUUCCUGGUGUAGCGGUGAAAUGCGUAGAUAUCAGGAGGAACGCCGGUGGCGUAAGCGCUUUACUGGGCCAUAAUUGACGCUGAGGAACGAAAGCCGGGGGAGCAAAUGGG